rnacentral:rRNA from 1 species
GGAGGGGGCUAGCGUUGUUCGGAAUUACUGGGCGUAAAGCGUACGUAGGCGGCUUUCCAAGUUAGAGGUGAAAGCCCGGGGCUCAACUCCGGAAUUGCCUUUAAGACUGCAUCGCUUGAAUCAUGGAGAGGUUAGUGGAAUUCCGAGUGUAGAGGUGAAAUUCGUAGAUAUUCGGAAGAACACCAGUGGCAAAGGCGACUAACUGGACAUGUAUUGACGCUGAGGUACGAAAGCGUGGGGAGCAACCAGGAUUAGAUACCCCGGUAGUCCACGCCGUAAACGAUGAUGACUAGCUGUCGGGGCGCUUAGCGUUUCGGUGGCGCAGCUAACGCGUUAAGUCAUCCGCCUGGGGAGUACGGCCGCAAGGUU